rnacentral:misc_RNA from 1 species
UCUCCGUAGGUGAACCUGCGGAGGGAUCAUUGAAUCUAUCAUACCGUUUACCUGCUCACCCAGUCGUUAAGUGCCCCCGGCGCCGGCCCUCACGGGCCGGCCCGGGCGCUUGUUCCUGGCCUCGCCACUGGCCGACCCUGGUUGUCGGUGAAGACUUGGCAAAGGUCUUGCGGUGCGGGCCCUGCCUCUCCCUCGGGAGAGGGGGGCGGUCUUCACGGACCGCCUCGCCCGCUGGCCGAAAUCCAACCCCCACUAACCAAACACCAGACUGAAGCUGAAGCUCGGAGGAAGGCUGCCGAAAGGCAGCCCGACUCACAAACCUAGACAACUCUCAACAACGGAUAUCUUGGCUCCC